UACGUAGGGGGCGAGCGUUGUCCGAAGUUACUGGGCGUAAAGCGCGCGUAGGCGGGUUGGCAAGUCUGCUGUGAAAGCCCGGGGCUUAACUCCGGAGGGUCGGUGGAUACUGCCAGUCUUGAAGGUGCUAGGGAGAGAUGGAAUUACAGGUGUAGCGGUGAAAUGCGUAGAUAUCUGUAGGAACACCAGUGGCGAAGGCGGUCUCUUGGGGGCAUUCUUGACGCUGAGGCGCGAAAGCUGGGGGGAGCGAACGGGG
rnacentral:rRNA from 1 species